rnacentral:sRNA from 1 species
ACUUGUUUCUUUUGAGUCUCCGUGGUAUAGUAGGUUGUCCCGCAAGGGAUAGAAUAUUAACUUUGCAAUAUGUGCAAGGUAGUUUCAAGGAGGAAACAAAUCGAUGACAGGUACAGUUAAGUGGUUCAACAGCAGUAAGGGUUAUGGUUUCAUCACCAAGGACGAAGGUGGAGACGUGUUUGUUCAUUUUUCAGCUAUUGAAGUCGACGGAUUCAAGACUCUCGAUGAAGGUCAGAGAGUCGAGUUCGAGAUUGGCGAAGGCCCAAAAGGUCCUCAGGCGAUAAAUGUUAAACCAAUCAGAUAAUCGUUGCGGUUAUUAAGAGCGUCCACCAGUAGGUGGACGCUUUUUU